ensembl:lncRNA
CAGCGAGGCCUCCUGCAGACAGCUGAGGAUGAAAGAGCUGGGGUGGUGAGGUUGUGACCUGUCUUUAUGAACCUGCUGGUGACAACUGGAAAAAAUAUGAAUGAAGGCUACAGGAGGUGGCACUGUCCUCUGGCCCUCCCCCUAUCCAUCCUCUCCUCUGUCAGCGGCCCUACUUCUCCCCCACACAGAUACAAUAGAACAGGUACUACUCCCCACACAUAUACAAUAGGACAGGUACUACUCCCCCCACACAGAUAUAAAGGGAAAGGUACUACUCACCCCACACAUAUAGAAAGGGAAAGGUACUACUACCCCCACACAUAUA